UACGUAGGGUGCGAGCGUUAAUCGGAAUUACUGGGCGUAAAGCGUGCGCAGGCGGUUUUGUAAGCCAGGUGUGAAAUCCCCGGGCUCAACCUGGGAAUGGCAUUUGGGACUGCAAGGCUGGAGUGCGGCAGAGGAGACUGGAAUUCCUGGUGUAGCAGUGAAAUGCGUAGAUAUCAGGAGGAACACCGAUGGCGAAGGCAGGUCUCUGGGCUGACACUGACGCUCAUGCACGAAAGCGUGGGGAGCGAAACAACGGAUUGA
rnacentral:rRNA from 1 species